GCUUAUAAGGGAAAUGGCCGACAAUCGUGGUGAUCUUACGUACCGAGUUUCUCCCGGCCUUUUUCCCCCGAGGUCUGCUUCUCAGGCACAGAAUGACAGCCCUCUUUUGGAGGUACAGUAAUCCACGAGAAGGCUGACUUUGACUUGCUCUCUUGCCUGUGGGUCAACCGUCGGCACAGCACGUCGCAGACUCUUGAGGAAGAUCAGAACCUUGACUAGACCACGGUACAAGUACGUCCUGAAGAAAAAAGAUCAAGGAACAGGUCGAGAAUUCAAAAUGGCGGAAACAGGAAAAGUCAACUUGUUGUGGUGGGUGCUCCUGUGUCUGAUCAUUCUGUUUCUUCUGGAUCUGAACGUGAACUUCACCGGACAGAUGUGGGAUCGGCCGGACAUGGCGACAUCUAAACGUCUUCAGAAGCAACGACAAAAUUCAAGUGACGCAGUGUUCGGACGACAUGACCGACUUGUGACAGCGGCAGAGAACGUGACAUCUCUCACGUCUCUCCCGUCGGAACUCGGGACCAUGGGGCGGAACUGGAGCCUGUCG